rnacentral:rRNA from 1 species
UACGAACCGUACGAACGUUAUUCGGAAUCACUGGGCUUAAAGGGUGCGUAGGCGGGUCUUUAAGUCAGGGGUGAAAUCCUGGAGCUCAACUCCAGAACUGCCUUUGAUACUGAGGAUCUUGAGUUCGGGAGAGGUGAGUGGAACUGCGAGUGUAGAGGUGAAAUUCGUAGAUAUUCGCAAGAACACCAGUGGCGAAGGCGGCUCACUGGCCCGAUACUGACGCUGAGGCACGAAAGCGUGGGGAGCAAACAGG